UCAAGGUGAAAAGCGCUUAUGCAAAUAAGCUACGAAAACAAAUCAAGGCGAAAACAAAUCAUGGAUUCGUGUUUACAAUAACAACAUCACGCUUCAUAUCAGAGCAUCGCGCUCAUCACUAUAGCUCAUGGAUUCGUGUUCUUGGAUUUAUUUCGACAUCAUUCAUGGAAGUUCGUAAAACCGAGGCGAGACUCAGAUCGAAACGAGAAAUGACUCACCGAAUUUCCAAGAACAGGUUAGCUUAUGGAGAUCGAAACAGGUAUCUCUGCGAAACCCUUUCGGUGUUCAGAAUUUGGUCUUCCCUAUUUGAUGCUUGGAUCCGGAGAAGUGAAAACUUAGUGAAAGCAUGAGUAACUUUGGUUUACAGACUUCAUCUUCUACUUUGUGAUACAGGUGUUUUUGUUAUGGAAAUCCUAGGGUGGAGUUCUAGUAUGGAUGAAGUUCUUAGAUCCGCUUCUGGUUCGGUUGAGGAUGUGAAACUGUUUUGCUGUGAUCAAACUCAGGUUAACCAUUUGCCUUGGAAGUUAUGUUAGAGGCUGCUAUGGAGUUUUCGGUUUUGUAUGGAGGUUAACCAACCAAUUAGUAAGGGCAGAUUCAGGUUGUGGCUUUGAAUCGUGCUGUUGGAGGUUAGGUGGAUAUCAUUUGGGUUGAAAUUCGUUGGACAGUUGGAAGUUCGGUUGGAAUUUGUUAUGAUUCUAUUCUGAAUUCAGUUGAAAUUUGGAAAUUCGGUUAGAUGUUGGUUUUUACUAAAGUUCUAUUAGUGAAGUGAUUUAGAAAAUGCUGUUAGAUAGUGAAUUAUUCUUUUGUGCAGUUAGUAAAAAUGUUGUUAUGAAUAUUGUUAAUUCUGUUAGAUGUUGAAUGUUGUUAGUUCAAUUGAUUAUAAUGCUUUUAAUCGAAACUGAUGGAAAUAUGUUAUAUUAGCUAAUGUGAAGUGAAAAAAUCAGAAUUGAAACGAACAUUGUAUUUCUUACCAAUUCCUGUUAUGGAACGAAAGGCGUCGCCGUCAUAGCUUAUUGGAGAACUGUUUUGGAGUUGUUAUAAGUUUAGGAUGGGAUUACUUGAUGUCUUGUUAUUUGUUGGUUGCUGCAGCUUGGAUUAAUGUGAAUAUGCCUGGGACUGAUCCAGG